ACCGGGCCGCGCGGCGCGCAGCCUGCAGGCGGCUCACUAUGGCGAUGGGCAGUGGCGGCGUCGUUUCGGAGCCGGAGGACUCGGUGCUGUUCCGGCGCGGAACGGGCCAGAGUGAUGAUUCUGACAUUUGGGAUGAUACAGCAUUGAUAAAAGCUUAUGAUAAAGCUGUAGCGUCAUUUAAGCAUGCUCUGAAGAAUGGUGACAUUUGUGCAACUUCAGAUAAACCAAAAGUCACACCUAAAAGAAAACCUGUUAAGAAGAAUAAAUGCCAAAAGAAGAAGACCACAACUGCCUUGAAACAGUGGAAGGUUGGCGACAAAUGUUGUGCCAUUUGGUCAGAGGAUGGCUGCAUCUACCCCGCUACAAUUGCUUCAGUUGAUUUUAAGAGAGAAACCUGUGUUGUGGUUUACACUGGAUAUGGAAACAGAGAAGAGCAAAAUCUGUCUGAUCUACUUUCCCCAACAUCUGAAGUGGCUAAUAAUAUAGAACACAAUGCUCAGGAGAAUGAAAAUGAAAGUCAAGUUUCUACAGAUGAAAGUGAGAACUCCUCCAGGUCUCCUGGAAGUAAACCAAAUAAUAUCAAGUCAAAAGCUAAUCCUUGGAACUCCUUCCUCCCUCCGCCUCCCCCCAUGCCAGGAUCAGGAAUGGGACCUGGAAAGCCAGGUCUAAAAUUCAGUGGGCCACCACCACCGCCACCGCCACUGCCACCCCUACCACCCCACUUCCUGUCAUGCUGGCUGCCCCCAUUUCCUUCUGGGCCACCAGUGAUUCCCCCACCACCUCCCCUAUGUCCAGAUUCUCUUGAUGAUGCUGAUGCCUUGGGAAGUAUGUUAAUCUCUUGGUAUAUGAGUGGCUAUCAUACUGGCUACUACAUGGGCUUCAAGCAAAGUCAGAAAGAGGGAAGAUGCUCACAUUUCAAUUAAGGAAAUGGGAGAUACACUGACCUGGGAAGAAUUCUAUUGUUAGUACUAUUAUUAUAUAAAUCAUCAUAUUUAAACCUAUAAUUAUCCACAUUUCAUUCUUUGGUUAAAAUCAACUUCAUUUGAUGAAAGUUCUUUACCAGUACUGGGUUGUACAGCCAAGUCUAAAAGAGUGAAUAGAAAAAUUGGGCAGAGGAUGGAAUGAGUGAGACUCACUCUUGAGGCAGAGGAUGCACAUGGUCAGAGGCACCAGGGUACAGUACGAUCAGAUGUACAAGGCAGCCCAGUGUCAUCACCACGUUUCAUACUGCCCACCUUCUCAGCCACCACCUCCGUCCAGCUCUCAGCUCCUCAAGAACUGCUUUUGCCGGGCCCUGUGGAGUCUUUUCCUACAUGUCUACUGCUUAGGAUUUGGGCAAGGACCCACGUGAAAAUCGAACACUGAUAUCCAAGGCUCCUUCUCUUCAAAUCCCUCCUCUCUGACUCUGCCUCCUCAGAUGCCAGCUGUCUUACUCCAAGGUCUGAACUCCCAUCCCUGUCUCCUCCAAGACUUGGGAACUCUGUUUAAUCUCGGGCUCCCAGGUCUGUGCUGCCAAUUUGGAACCAUAUCCAACCAGAAAGGCAGAAUGCCAAGUUCACUGUAUUUCCCUUCCUUGUUGAUCUCCGCCCUGGUGCCCAGUGCUUGAAGACAGUUACAUCAUUUAUUGUGCCCAGUUUGUAGUCUGUGUCAGGAAAAUACAUCCACCAGCACCUCUUUGCCUUUUAUUAAAGACUAGUUGGUUUGAACAAAUGUUUUAUCUUUUUCUUCAUGAAUACUUGGCUGGAUGGCCCAGUUCAUCACAGUUAAUUUUUCAGUUGUUGGCGUUUUCUCAAAGAUUAGUCUCUUGUGAUAGCUAAAAUAAAAUGUACUGAACAAUGAUACUAUACUCCCGACCUCUCAAGUAUGUAAAAUUUAGGUGUCACAUUUGGGCUCAUUGAUAUUUUUCUACAUGGCAAUAAAAAUUAAAAAUAAAUUUGGCCUCUUUUGCUUAACAGAGUUCCAUUGAAGUAUUCUUAUAUAUGGAUGAGUAAUUUGGAUGUUAGCUCCUAGUCUCCAAAUUAGAAUACAGCACACUUCUUGUUCCAUAGAUCAUCACGUGUUCUUAUAUUGCUAACCUCAGAAGAAUGAAUUAGUUAAUAAUGUGCUCAUUCUUCACAUCCAUCUAAUUGUUAUAGUUUCUACUUGUUAUUUUAGAGCUAUUUCUUUCUUCAUUGUUACUUAUGAAAUAAAAGUAAAUCUUUGAAUCUGUUUAACAUUUUAAUCCCUUUAAAAGUUUUUUUUUAAACAUUGUUGCUCUGUUGUAUGUAUUGCACUCUGAUAGGAAGACAUGUGUAAAUAGAGAAAGUAAGAUGCAAAACUGUAUAUUAUUUUAAUGGCCAUUUAUGUAAAUAUGUGUGGAUGGGAAUUAUCCUCAACCAAUCUCAGAUUAUGCUUGAAGGUAAUAUAGAGAACAGGGAUAUGAAGGAGACUUCACACUGCACCCUUUAGCAUUUUUAAAAUUUUUUGUCUCGUACAGUUAUUGUAAAAUAUUAAAAACAUAAUUA